UGGCUCAGAACGAACGCUGGCGGCAGGCCUAACACAUGCAAGUCGAGCGAAACCUUCGGGUUUAGCGGCGGACGGGUGAGUAACGCGUGGGAAUAUGCCCUUCUCUGCGGAAUAGCCUCGGGAAACUGAGAGUAAUACCGCAUAUGCCCUACGGGGGAAAGAUUUAUCGGAGAAGGAUUAGCCCGCGUUGGAUUAGGUAGUUGGUGGGGUAAUGGCCUACCAAGCCUACGAUCCAUAGCUGGUUUGAGAGGAUGAUCAGCCACACUGGGACUGAGACACGGCCCAGACUCCUACGGGAGGCAGCAGUGGGGAAUCUUAGACAAUGGGGGAAACCCUGAUCUAGCCAUGCCGCGUGAGUGACGAAGGCCUUAGGGUCGUAAAGCUCUUUCGCUAGGGAAGAUAAUGACUGUACCUAGUAAAGAAACCCCGGCUAACUCCGUGCCAGCAGCCGCGGUAAUACGGAGGGGGUUAGCGUUGUUCGGAAUUACUGGGCGCAAAGCGUACGUAGGCGGAUUGGAAAGUUGGGGGUGAAAUCCCAGGGCUCAACCCUGGAACUGCCUCCAAAACUAUCAGUCUAGAGUUCGAGAGAGGUGAGUGGAAUUCCGAGUGUAGAGGUGAAAUUCGUAGAUAUUCGGAGGAACACCAGUGGCGAAGGCGGCUCACUGGCUCGAUACUGACGCUGAGGUACGAAAGUGUGGGGAGCAAACAGGAUUAGAUACCCUGGUAGUCCACACCGUAAACGAUGAAUGCCAGACGUCGGGCAGUAUACUGUUCGGUGUCACACCUAACGGAUUAAGCAUUCCGCCUGGGGAGUACGGUCGCAAGAUUAAAACUCAAAGGAAUUGACGGGGGCCCGCACAAGCGGUGGAGCAUGUGGUUUAAUUCGACGCAACGCGCAGAACCUUACCAACCCUUGACAUACCUAUCGCGGUUACCAGAGAUGGUUUCCUUCAGUUCGGCUGGAUAGGAUACAGGUGCUGCAUGGCUGUCGUCAGCUCGUGUCGUGAGAUGUUCGGUUAAGUCCGGCAACGAGCGCAACCCCCGUCUUUAGUUGCCAUCAUUCAGUUGGGCACUCUAAAGAAACUGCCGGUGAUAAGCCGGAGGAAGGUGUGGAUGACGUCAAGUCCUCAUGGCCCUUACGGGUUGGGCUACACACGUGCUACAAUGGCAGUGACAAUGGGUUAAUCCCCAAAAACUGUCUCAGUUCGGAUUGGGGUCUGCAACUCGACCCCAUGAAGUCGGAAUCGCUAGUAAUCGCGUAACAGCAUGACGCGGUGAAUACGUUCCCGGGCCUUGUACACACCGCCCGUCACACCAUGGGAGUUGGGUCUACCCGAAGGCCGUGCGCCAACC
rnacentral:rRNA from 1 species